AAGUCGUAACAAGGUUUCCGUAGGUGAACCUGCGGAAGGAUCAUUAACACGUUUCACACCGUAUCAACCAAACCGCGAACUAUGAACGUUUUUUUAAUUCAUGUUUUGGAAGGGGGUGGACAUGGCUAUCAUGCUAUGUUGAACAGCAAAGCCGCGUGGUACUUCUGUGCUGCGCGCGCGCUGCUGUGUACGACCAGCCACUCCCCUUCUUUUAAACAUGUCUUAUUCAACCCAAACCAUUUGUAUUUAUUUAUUCUUAGAGAUACGCCCUUGUGGCGAGUCUUUAAUACAAACUUGUACAACUCUUAGCAACGGAUCA
rnacentral:misc_RNA from 1 species